rnacentral:misc_RNA from 1 species
AUUUGCAUGUUAUUUGAUAGAGAAUCGAAAGACGCACCUCUUGAUCAAUCAGAAACAAUGAUUUGAACCAAUUAAUGCAUUUUGUUUUGAAAACAAAUACACAGCGUAUCUCCGUGUCGCGGGAAUCGUCAUGAAAACAGCGGGUAAGUCAGUUUACUUUCGUAUUGUAACAGAUAACAAAUUGUGCUCUUAAGAAAUACAUUGUAAAUUAAGAUAGCAAUGCACCAUGAAUUACGAAAGCAGUGAUGAUGAAGAAAUCGCUUACCUAUACUAGGACUAAAAAUACCAUUGAAAGAGAAAAAUGAAAAUAUCACCUCCAAUGAAAACUUGGAAAACCUAGACAUUAACAAUUUGCCUGUUGUUAUAAUUCCAGAUAAUGAUAAUAUAAGCGGCGAGGUGAGUUUACAAGAUCUUUCCAAAUGCCAUGUAACGAUGGAAGAAACUACAGUUCACUCGCCUCUGUUACCAUCGAAUUUCGAACCUGUUGAUAUUAACUUUGGACAAACAAGUGUGAUACCGAUUGCGAGUCCCUUGCUAGUGGAUGACGAGGUCGAACAUGGUGAUCUUAACUCUGGGCGAAAAAGAUGUUCUAAGGGAUGCCCAAGGUCAAAGCUUUAUAACAAUCAUCAAAAAAUAAAUGAAUCUUAAUGGAAACAUCUUCAAGAACUAAAGUCAGUUAUACCCCCUGACUGUCACAAUUUUUACGAUACUUUACUUCACUUACUUCACAAGAAUCUCAUACAAUUCUUGCGAUUAAAUUAGUUUAAUCACUACUUAAAUUUAAAUUUCUUUUCGUGCAACUCGGCGUAAGAUUAUUAAUGACUAAUUUAUGAUGCAUUUUUGUUAUUUUUAAUAUUUUCAUAAAGUAGGGCAGAUUUCGCAUUUAAGUAAUACUGAUGUUCCUUUUUAUUUGAUUUUAUACCAAAUAAGCAUCAAAGUAAAAAAAAUAGUGUAAUAAAGCUAAUUUGUUAAUUAUUUAUAACGAAAAGUUUAUAAAAUCUGUUAAGAAUUUUGUAGAAGUAUCUUUAAUGUUUGUAAUUUUGUAGGAGGUAAAAUUCUACCCGUUAUUUUAAUUUUAGUGGAAAUAAAUAUUUAAAAAUAUUUACAGAGUAUUUAUCAUGUAUUUAUAAUAACUCAGCGUAAGUCUCGCCAUUUUUAACCGACUUCCAAAAAAGAAGGAGGUUCUCAAUUCGACUGUAUUUUUUUUAAUGUAUG